UCUUCAAUGGGCAUGUUCAGUGCAUACCAGAUAUCUCUAAUGAUAACUGUAUGAAGUGUUUGAAGGAUGGUAUUGAUUAUCUUCAAACUUCUUGUGCUAGAGGAAAGAUUAGAGGAAGUGUUUUAUAUCCAAGUUGCAUUGUUAGAUAUGAUACUUAUCCAUAUUUUGCACAACCUAUAGGAAAAAGACACAAAAAUGGAGCACAACCACAUUUCAUAAUUUUUCAUAUUCUUGUUCCUGUCAUGAUGUUCUUAGUCGCGGUAUUCCUUUUCGUGAAAUGUGUUUUUUCAGCGCUCGCUAAUUAUCAAGCGAGGAAGGCAUUUAUGGCAAAGUAAGGGGCUAGAAAAUAAAUUCUCUGAACAAUUUUUAUACCAGAUUGUGUUAGAGAGCUACAACUACUAUGUUGGAAAAAUAAAGGAAAGCAUAAAGAAAAACAUUAAAUUAAAUAAAUUAAGGCAUUUUUCAUUGA